rnacentral:rRNA from 1 species
AGUUGUAAUUUGCAGAGGAUGCUUUGGGUACGGUGCCUUCCGAGUUCCCUGGAACGGGACGCCAUAGAGGGUGAGAGCCCCGUACGGUUGGAUGCCUAGCCUCUGUGAAACUCC